GUCGACGGCAGCGCGGGGCAACCUGGCGGCGAGUGGCGAACGGGUGAGUAAUAUAUCGGAACGUGCCCUGGAGUGGGGGAUAACGCAGCGAAAGUUGCGCUAAUACCGCAUACGAUCUAAGGAUGAAAGCGGGGGAUUCGCAAGAACCUCGUGCUCCUGGAGCGGCCGAUAUCUGAUUAGCUAGUUGGUGGGGUAAAGGCCUACCAAGGCAUCGAUCAGUAGCUGGUCUGAGAGGACGACCAGCCACACUGGAACUGAGACACGGUCCAGACUCCUACGGGAGGCAGCAGUGGGGAAUAUUGCACAAUGGGCGCAAGCCUGAUGCAGCAACGCCGCGUGAGGGACGACGGCCUUCGGGUUGUAAACCUCUUUGAGUAGGGAAGAAGCGACUGGGUUUUCCUGGGAGUGACGGUACCCGCAGAAAAAGCACCGGCUAACUACGUGCCAGCAGCCGCGGUAAUACGUAGGGUGCAAGCGUUGUCCGGAAUUAUUGGGCGUAAAGAGCUCGUAGGCGGUUUGUCGCGUCUGCUGUGAAAACCCGAGGCUCAACCUCGGGCCUGCAGUGGGUACGGGCAGACUAGAGUGCGGUAGGGGAGAUUGGAAUUCCUGGUGUAGCGGUGGAAUGCGCAGAUAUCAGGAGGAACACCAAUGGCGAAGGCAGAUCUCUGGGCCGUAACUGACGCUGAGGAGCGAAAGCAUG
rnacentral:rRNA from 1 species